CUGCUAUUCAGGGUUCCGACUAAGCCAUGCGAAGUCAAAAGGUUCGUUAAGACACUGGCGUACUGAUCAGUAACAUGCGGACAAUCUAACCCCAGGCGGGGUAUAACCUCGGGAAACUGAGGGUAAUUCCCCAUAGUUAUCAUAUGCUGGAAUGCUUUGAUGAUGAAAGUUCAGACGCCUGAGGAUGAGUCUGCGGCCUAUCAGGUAGUAUGUGGCGUAAAGGACCACAUAGCCUUUGACGGGUACGGGCCAUGAGAGGGGGAGCCCGGAGAUGGACUCUGAGACACUAGUCCAGGCCCUACGGGGCGCAGCAGGCGCGAAACCUGUGCAAUGCGCGCAAGCGCGACACGGGGAGCCUGAGUGCCUUGACUAAGUCAAGGCUUUUCUUAAGCCUAAAAAGCUUGAGGAAUAAGAGCUGGGCAAGACGAGUGCCAGCCGCCGCGGUAACACCCGCAGCUCGAGUGGUAGUCACUUUUAUUGAGCCUAAAGCGUCCGUAGCCGGUCUUGUAAAUCUCUGGGUAAAUCCUGCCGCUUAACGGUGGGAAUGCUGGAGAGACUGCAAGACUGGGGAUCGGGUGAAGCGAGAGGUACUCCUGGGGUAGGGGUAAAAUCCUGUAAUCCUGGGGGACGACCGGUGGCGAAAGCGUCUCACUAGAACGACUCCGACGGUGAGGGACGAAGGCUAGGGGAGCAAACCGGAUUAGAUACCCGGGUAGUCCUAGCUGUAAACGCUGCACACUUGGUGUUGCCCCUUCUUCGGGAAAGGGCAGUGCCGGAGCGAAGGUGUUAAGUGUGCCGCUUGGGGAGUAUGGUCGCAAGGCUGAAACUUAAAGGAAUUGGCGGGAGAGCACCGCAACGGG
rnacentral:rRNA from 1 species